rnacentral:piRNA from 1 species
UGCGGGAAAGGUCAGGCACUGUGCAC